UUUGAUCAUGGCUCAGAUUGAACGCUGGCGGCAGGCCUAACACAUGCAAGUCGAGCGGAAACGAGUUAUCUGAACCUUCGGGGAACGAUAACGGCGUCGAGCGGCGGACGGGUGAGUAAUGCCUAGGAAAUUGCCCUGAUGUGGGGGAUAACCAUUGGAAACGAUGGCUAAUACCGCAUAAUGCCUACGGGCCAAAGAGGGGGACCUUCGGGCCUCUCGCGUCAGGAUAUGCCUAGGUGGGAUUAGCUAGUUGGUGAGGUAAUGGCUCACCAAGGCGACGAUCCCUAGCUGGUCUGAGAGGAUGAUCAGCCACACUGGAACUGAGACACGGUCCAGACUCCUACGGGAGGCAGCAGUGGGGAAUAUUGCACAAUGGGCGCAAGCCUGAUGCAGCCAUGCCGCGUGUGUGAAGAAGGCCUUCGGGUUGUAAAGCACUUUCAGUCGUGAGGAAGGUAGUGUAGUUAAUAGCUGCAUUAUUUGACGUUAGCGACAGAAGAAGCACCGGCUAACUCCGUGCCAGCAGCCGCGGUAAUACGGAGGGUGCGAGCGUUAAUCGGAAUUACUGGGCGUAAAGCGCAUGCAGGUGGUUUGUUAAGUCAGAUGUGAAAGCCCGGGGCUCAACCUCGGAAUAGCAUUUGAAACUGGCAGACUAGAGUACUGUAGAGGGGGGUAGAAUUUCAGGUGUAGCGGUGAAAUGCGUAGAGAUCUGAAGGAAUACCGGUGGCGAAGGCGGCCCCCUGGACAGAUACUGACACUCAGAUGCGAAAGCGUGGGGAGCAAACAGGAUUAGAUACCCUGGUAGUCCACGCCGUAAACGAUGUCUACUUGGAGGUUGUGGCCUUGAGCCGUGGCUUUCGGAGCUAACGCGUUAAGUAGACCGCCUGGGGAGUACGGUCGCAAGAUUAAAACUCAAAUGAAUUGACGGGGGCCCGCACAAGCGGUGGAGCAUGUGGUUUAAUUCGAUGCAACGCGAAGAACCUUACCUACUCUUGACAUCCAGAGAACUUUCCAGAGAUGGAUUGGUGCCUUCGGGAACUCUGAGACAGGUGCUGCAUGGCUGUCGUCAGCUCGUGUUGUGAAAUGUUGGGUUAAGUCCCGCAACGAGCGCAACCCUUAUCCUUGUUUGCCAGCGAGUAAUGUCGGGAACUCCAGGGAGACUGCCGGUGAUAAACCGGAGGAAGGUGGGGACGACGUCAAGUCAUCAUGGCCCUUACGAGUAGGGCUACACACGUGCUACAAUGGCGCAUACAGAGGGCAGCAAGCUAGCGAUAGUGAGCGAAUCCCAAAAAGUGCGUCGUAGUCCGGAUUGGAGUCUGCAACUCGACUCCAUGAAGUCGGAAUCGCUAGUAAUCGUGGAUCAGAAUGCCACGGUGAAUACGUUCCCGGGCCUUGUACACACCGCCCGUCACACCAUGGGAGUGGGCUGCAAAAGAAGUAGGUAGUUUAACCUUCGGGAGGACGCUUACCACUUUGUGGUUCAUGACUGGGGUGAAGUCGUAACAA
rnacentral:rRNA from 2 species